UACGUAGGGCGCAAGCGUUAUCCGGAAUUAUUGGGCGUAAAGAGCUCGUAGGCGGUCUGUCGCGUCGGCUGUGAAAUCCCGAGGCCCAACCUCGGGUCUGCAGUCGAUACGGGCAGGCUAGAAUUCGGUAGGGGAGACUGGAAUUCCUGGUGUAGCGGCGAAAUGCGCAGAUAUCAGGAGGAACACCGGUGGCGAAGGCGGGUCUCUGGGCCGAUAUUGACGCUGAGGAGCGAAAGCGUGGGGAGCGAACAGG
rnacentral:rRNA from 1 species